rnacentral:lncRNA from 1 species
AGUUUUCUUCUUUCUCAGCCUAAUCAACUUGCCUUCUCGAAACCUCUUGCGCAUGUAAAGAGGUGCAGCGUCGUGGUAUAAAAUCGAGCGUUUCUUUCCACCCUCCAGCUCCUUCUCAGUCGGUGGUUCAUGCGCUUCUUCCACGUCAUCGAAUGUGAAGUCUUCCCUUUGGCAAAGAACAAAGGGAACACCGCGUGACACAGAAUAUGUUGUCAGAGUAC